GAUUACAAAAAAUUCAAUCAUGGAUUACAAAAAACUCUAUCAUGGGUUACAAAAAAAACAAAAAACAAAAAAUUCGAUCAUGGAUUACAAAAAAAAAACAAACAUUUCGAUCAUGGAUUACAAAAAACAAACAAACAUUUUGAUCAUGGAUUACAAAACAUUCGAUCAUGGAUUACAAAAAAUUCUAUCAUGGGUUACAAAAAAA
rnacentral:lncRNA from 1 species